rnacentral:rRNA from 1 species
CCUACGGGUGGCAGCAGUGGGGAAUAUUGGACAAUGGGCGAAAGCCUGAUCCAGCCAUGCCGCGUGUGUGAAGAAGGCCUUCGGGUGGUAAAGCACUUUCAGUGGGGAAGAAAGCCUUGGGGCUAAUACCCUCGAGGAAGGACAUCACCCACAGAAGAAGCACCGGCUAACUCCGUGCCAGCAGCCGCGGUAAUACGGAGGGUGCGAGCGUUAAUCGGAAUUACUGGGCGUAAAGCGCGCGUAGGCGGUCUGAUAAGCCGGUUGUGAAAGCCCCGGGCUCAACCUGGGAACGGCAUCCGGAACUGUCAGGCUAGAGUGCAGGAGAGGAAGGUAGAAUUCCCGGUGUAGCGGUGAAAUGCGUAGAGAUCGGGAGGAAUACCAGUGGCGAAGGCGGCCUUCUGGACUGACACUGACGCUGAGGUGCGAAAGCGUGGGUAGCAAACAGGAUUAGAUACCCCAGUAGUC